AAGGUUGACCUCGGAUCAGGUAGGAAUACCCGCUGAACUUAAGCAUAUCAAUAAGCGGAGGAAAAGAAACCAACAGGGAUUGCCCUAGUAACGGCGAGUGAAGCGGCAACAGCUCAAAUUUGAAAUCUGGCUACUUCGUAGUCCGAGUUGUAAUUUGUAGAGGAUGCUUUUGGUGAAGUGCUUUCUGAGUUCCCUGGAACGGGACGCCAGAGAGGGUGAGAGCCCCGUACAGUUAGCAACUGAUCCUUUGUAUAGCUCCUUCGACG
rnacentral:rRNA from 1 species